rnacentral:rRNA from 1 species
GGAAUCUGGGAGGACCAUCUCCUAAGGCUAAAUACUCUCUAGUGACCGAUAGUGAACCAGUACCGUGAGGGAAAGGUGAAAAGCACCCCGGAAGGGGAGUGAAAUAGAACCUGAAACCGUGUGCUUACAAGUAGUCAGAGCCCGUUAAUGGGUGAUGGCGUGCCUUUUGUAGAAUGAACCGGCGAGUUACGAUUUGAUGCAAGGUUAAGCAGUAAAUGUGGAGCCGUAGCGAAAGCGAGUCUGAAUAGGGCGUUUAGUAUUUGGUCGUAGACCCGAAACCAGGUGAUCUACCCUUGGUCAGGUUGAAGUUCAGGUAACACUGAAUGGAGGACCGAACCGACUUACGUUGAAAAGUGAGCGGAUGAACUGAGGGUAGCGGAGAAAUUCCAAUCGAACCUGGAGAUAGCUGGUUCUCUCCGAAAUAGCUUUAGGGCUAGCCUCAAGUGAUGAUUAUUGGAGGUAGAGCACUGUUUGGACGAGGGGCCCCUCUCGGGUUACCGAAUUCAGACAAACUCCGAAUGCCAAUUAAUUUAACUUGGGAGUCAGAACAUGGGUGAUAAGGUCCGUGUUCGAAAGGGAAACAGCCCAGACCACCAGCUAAGGUCCCAAAAUAUAUGUUAAGUGGAAAAGGAUGUGGCGUUGCCCAGACAACUAGGAUGUUGGCUUAGAAGCAGCCAUCAUUUAAAGAGUGCGUAAUAGCUCACUAGUCGAGUGACACUGCGCCGAAAAUGUACCGGGGCUAAACAUAUUACCGAAGCUGUGGAUUGUCCUUUGGACAAUGGUAGGAGAGCGUUCUAAGGGCGUUGAAGCAUGAUCGUAAGGACAUGUGGAGCGCUUAGAAGUGAGAAUGCCGGUGUGAGUAGCGAAAGACGGGUGAGAAUCCCGUCCACCGAUUGACUAAGGUUUCCAGAGGAAGGCUCGUCCGCUCUGGGUUAGUCGGGUCCUAAGCUGAGGCCGACAGGCGUAGGCGAUGGAUAACAGGUUGAUAUUCCUGUACCACCUAUAAUCGUUUUAAUCGAUGGGGGGACGCAGUAGGAUAGGCGAAGCGUGCGAUUGGAUUGCACGUCUAAGCAGUAAGGCUGAGUAUUAGGCAAAUCCGGUACUCGUUAAGGCUGAGCUGUGAUGGGGAGAAGACAUUGAGUCUUCGAGUCGUUGAUUUCACACUGCCGAGAAAAGCCUCUAGAUAGAAAAUAGGUGCCCGUACCGCAAACCGACACAGGUAGUCAAGAUGAGAAUUCUAAGGUGAGCGAGCGAACUCUCGUUAAGGAACUCGGCAAAAUGACCCCGUAACUUCGGGAGAAGGGGUGCUCUUUAGGGUUAACGCCCAGAAGAGCCGCAGUGAAUAGGCCCAAGCGACUGUUUAUCAAAAACACAGGUCUCUGCUAAACCGUAAGGUGAUGUAUAGGGGCUGACGCCUGCCCGGUGCUGGAAGGUUAAGAGGAGUGGUUAGCUUCUGCGAAGCUACGAAUCGAAGCCCCAGUAAACGGCGGCCGUAACUAUAACGGUCCUAAGGUAGCGAAAUUCCUUGUCGGGUAAGUUCCGACCCGCACGAAAGGCGUAACGAUUUGGGCACUGUCUCAACGAGAGACUCGGUGAAAUCAUAGUACCUGUGAAGAUGCAGGUUACCCGCGACAGGACGGAAAGACCCCGUGGAGCUUUACUGUAGCCUGAUAUUGAAAUUCGGCACAGCUUGUACAGGAUAGGUAGGAGCCUUUGAAACGUGAGCGCUAGCUUACGUGGAGGCGCUGGUGGGAUACUACCCUAGCUGUGUUGGCUUUCUAACCCGCACCACUUAUCGUGGUGGGAGACAGUGUCAAGCGGGCAGUUUGACUGGGGCGGUCGCCUCCUAAAAGGUAACGGAGGCGCUCAAAGGUUCCCUCAGAAUGGUUGGAAAUCAUUCAUAGAGUGUAAA